rnacentral:rRNA from 1 species
AGCAGUAGCCGCGGGAAUACGGAGGGUGCAAGCGUUAAUCGGAAUUACUGGGCGUAAAGCGCACGCAGGCGGUCUGACAAGUCAGAUGUGAAAUCCCCGGGCUUAACCUGGGAACUGCAUUUGAAACUGUCAGGCUGGAGUCUUGUAGAGGGGGGUAGAAUUCCAGGUGUAGCGGUGAAAUGCGUAGAGAUCUGGAGGAAUACCGGUGGCGAAGGCGGCCCCCUGGACAAAGACUGACGCUCAGGUGCGAAAGCGUGGGGAGCAAACAGGAUUAGAUACCCCGGUAGUCCCUGUCUCUUAUAC